GGGCCUACGGGGGGCAGCAGUGGGGAAUAUUGCACAAUGGGGGGAACCCUGAUGCAGCGACGCGGCGUGAGUGAAGAAGUAUUUCGGUAUGUAAAGCUCUAUCAGCAGGGAAGAAAAUGACGGUACCUGAGUAAGAAGCCCCGGCUAACUACGUGCCAGCCGCCGCGGUAAUACGUAGGGGGCAAGCGUUAUCCGGAUUUACUGGGUGUAAAGGGAGCGUAGACGGCCAGACAAGUCUGAAGUGAAAAUCCAG
rnacentral:rRNA from 1 species